CAUGGCCGGUGCGUCAUCACUGUACUCCGCACGUACAAUAAAAAUAUAAGAAGAUGAAGGUUUCAGGACAUAUUAUUUUUAUGAGUUCAGCAGAGAUGAACAACAUGUCGCUCUUGUGGCUGCUGUUAGUGGCGGGAAGGCAGUUGUUGCUGGAGCGACUGCCCCAGAGUCAAAGUGGGAUGAUGAUGGUGUGAAACUUCGUAGUGCAGCAUUGUCUCUGACUCUGCUGUAGUGUUACUUUGACAAUUGAGGUUUAGCCUUGUCAAGUAGUGUUUCAAUAUUGUGUCUCCAUUUUUGUUGGAUAAAUUACAUUAUGUACGUUGAAGAUUCUUUUUCUUACUGGAGAAUAUUUGUAAAA